rnacentral:tRNA from 1 species
CCCGGUUGGUGAGGUGGACGUGGCCGGGCAGGUCCGGCCGGUCGACGGGCAGCCCGCUGGUGGCCACGAUGACGUUGCAGUCGUCGAGCCGGGA